rnacentral:rRNA from 1 species
CCUACGGGGUGCAGCAGUGGGGAAUAUUGCGCAAUGGGCGAAAGCCUGACGCAGCGACGCCGCGUGAGGGAUGAAGGCCUUCGGGUUGUAAACUGCUUUUAUAAGCGAGAAAUAUGAUGGUAACUUAUGAAUAAGUAUCGUCUAACUACGGGCCAGCAGCCGCGGUCAUACGUAGACUCCGCGCAUUAUCCGGAGUGACUGGGUGUAAAGAGUUGCGUAGGUGGAAUAAUAAGUAGCUAGGGGAAUCUGGUGGCUCAACCCUUCAGACUAUUAUCUAAACUGUUGAGCUCGAGACCGUUAGGGGAAUGUGGAAGUUCUGGUGUAGGAGUGAAAUCCGUAGAUAUUAGAAAGAACACCAAUAGCGUAGGCAGGAUGCUGGGACGGUUCUGACACUAAGGCACGAAAGCGUAGGGAGCGAACGGGAUUAGAUACCCCAGUAGUC